GAACUUGCCCUUUUACUUUUUUUCUCACGGGGGCGUGCACUGACAAUUUUUUUACCUGAAAGAAUGGGGCGCUCUGUAUAUUCAGCUAAACCAACCACCGAGAAAUUUGCUUGUGGCCGCGGUUCCGAUUUGCGGGUUCAUUUCAAGAACACACGAGAAGUAGCCCGCGCGAUAAGAGGAAUGUACUUAAAAAAGGCGAAGAAGUAUCUUUAUCAAGUUGCUAAGAAGCAAAGAAUAAUUCCUUUCACUCGUUUUAAGGGUGACGUUGGACGUCACGCUCAGUGUAAAGAGUUUAAAGUAUCCACACAAGGACGUUGGCCUUUGAAGUCUGUCAAAUUUGUAAAUGCUCUUUUGCAAAAUGUGGAAGCUAAUGCGCAGAGAAAAAAUCUUAAUAUUAAGAGAUUAAAAAUAACACAUAUCCAAGUUAAUGCCGCUGCGAAAAUGAGAAGACGCACAUAUCGUGCGCACGGACGCAUCAACCCUUACAUGUCCUCGCCUUGUCAUAUAGAGAUUAUUGCAGAGGAAGCCCAGGAAGACGUCCCGCGACCACCCAAAGCAAAAAAUAUGGGACUCGUGAAAAAGACUGCGGAAAAAUAAUUUGGGUUGUAUAAAAAACGUAGACAUUAAAUUGAAUUCUAU